rnacentral:rRNA from 1 species
UACGUAGGGGGCAAGCGUUGUCCGGAUUUAUUGGGCGUAAAGAGCGUGUAGGCGGCUGGGUAGGUCCGUUGUGAAAACUCGAGGCUCAACCUCGAGACGUCGGCGGAAGCCAUCUGGCUAGAGUCCGGAAGAGGAGAGUGGAAUUCCUGGUGUAGCGGUGAAAUGCGCAGAUAUCAGGAGGAACACCGGUGGCGAAGGCGGAUCUCUGGGCCAUUACUGACGCUGAGGAGCGAAAGCGUGGGGAGCGAACAGG